CAACUUCUCCAAUCAUAAAAUACCGCUCCUUCCAUAUUGAUUGUGCUUUGGCAACUAGAUGCAGUGCCAGGCAUCACUCUGCAAGGUGUUUAAAAAGAAAAACAGGUUUACCCAGGAUUUAUCAUGUGUGGAAAAAUGUAAUAUCUAAGUAGGCUGUCUGCUAAUGUCUGGCAUAAUGUUUCUUCAUAAUGGUUAACCCUUUUGCAGGGAGUGGAAUAAUGCAAAGAGUGCCUCUCUCUCUAGAUGGGAACUUUGCUUCAUGGGACAUUACAAUCUAUCUCUGACUCAUGUUCUCUGCUAGAUAUUCAGCAUCAGCAAUGUUGGGACUACAGAAGUGGAAUUUAGCCAAAUAAAGAAAUGAAACACUGUAUCUCCAAAAAGGAUCACAAAUAUUCCUUUAUUUUGAAUCUAGAAGAAGUAAAGAUGUCACUGAAACACAAGAGAAGAGAAGCUAUCCAUAUAUGGUCAUAGUGGCAGUGCCUUGAAGAUCACAAGAAUGAUGGAAUGGGGCCUCUCUUCACCACUAGGAGAGGAGAAUGCAGAAAAGGAGGAGGAGAUGGGGUAUACAGGCCAUAUCAUUCCAUCUCCCCAGCCCCACAUCUACAGAGGACCAGUUCUCCAGGAGCAAAAGAGGGAGAAAUCCCACUGCACAGCACUGAUGUCUUCAAAAAAGGAACAAUAGAUCCUCCAGAUCAUUCACAAGUUGCUGAAGAGGAGAACGCAGGAAAAAGUCACAAAAAAGACUCUAAAAAGAAAAGCAACUGGGAAUGAAUGGCUUGUUGGCAAUAUGAAGCUAUUAUAAAAAAAAGCAAAAACCUGUAUUCUGAGGCUGCCUGUGCAAGUUUUGAGUUUCCCCCCUUUAAAGAAGAUGGGACAUCUGUUCAGACACUUUGCCGUCAGUGGUGCUAAAUGGAAUGAAUGAUAUGUUUACUUCACUUUCCAUCUUCUCAGUUAGAGUUAUCACUACCUGACUACCACUACCUGACUUGAUAAACCUAUCUGCGAGGGGGCCAGCAUGCCACCUCUGGGCGAGUGACUCUGGAUUCCUGGCUACUUCCGGAUUUCGAAUAUUAGUUCCAAGUGGAAGACUAAAACGAUUUUAAAACUGGAGUGAGCUAAUAGACCCGAAUGUAAAGGCAAUCCCUCGUACCUGAGGAGCGCUCCAGCUCCCAGCAAGUGGGCUAGGUUUUCGUACCUACACCUCAAGAGCGUACAGUUCAAUACUAUGCCAGCGCAGGACAAAGAUAGGACCGCACUUGCUAAGAACUUCCUUGUAUUGGUAGGUUAUCACUCCCCCGCCCCCAUCCCCGAUCUCGCCGUGGGGCAUAGACAAGGUUCUGCAGAAACACCUGACCAAAAUCCUUACCCCUCCAUGCAGCUGCCUUCAGUGGGUCUAGUCUGGUGAGGUAGGGCGAGUCGUGUGCGAGUAAGAGUAGCACAGGCUCGAGGCCACGGGGUUGCAACACAAGCAGCGGAGGCCCGGGUUGUGGUGCAGCGGCGUGGCGCGAAGCAGCAGCGCUUUGAUUCCCGGGAUUUGCAAAGCGGGGCUGAGAAGCGCAAGCACGUUUUCAAUCCUUCCCAGUUUGUUCGCCCUUGGAGCCGGCUGGCUCUCCCGCACCGGCGUUGCCUAUUGCAACCUGCAGCGGGGGCCUGCCCCUGCCGGGAGAGCAGCUCGGUCGUAGACUUUCCCGGGGAAGGCCUGCCUGCCCGGGCAGCCCCUUUCGGCCAGGCCCUGCCCGCCGAGAUGGGCCGCGGUGGCAGCUCCCUGGCUCCCCCCUGAGGAGCGCGGCAAGGGGGAGGAGGGACGACAUUAAGGGAGCGUUAGUUUUCCAGACCUCUCCUCGGCCUACACACCGCGCCGACGGGGCGGGCGCCAGACAGCCCGGCCUGGGCCAGGAGGCGCUGCGCGAGGCGCGCUCUCGCCGGCAUCCGCGCCGAGCCGAGCCGUGCACCGCGAAGGAGUUUCUGGGCUGUGGCCGUCUCUAGCCCGCCAAAGGGCGAGACGCAGCAGGGGUCGUGCGCUCGGAAAGUCUUACCAAGGCAUUGCGCUCUCCCAUCCCCCCCGCCCUCCCCAGUUUGCACGAACGGAGUAAACUGAGCCACUAGGGUCGGUGGGACACUCAGCUGCCCCUGGGUGAGGGAUGGGAGGGAAAGCCUUGGACCCGGUCUCUGAAAACACCGAACGGUCCCGAAGAACCCGGGGGACAGGCGGCUAGUCAGCUGGCUUUUCAGUCCUGUCCGAUCCGUGCGGUUCCUUCCCUGGCAACCCUGCGUGGGGGCGAUCAGUGCUCCAGGAGCAGACUGCAACGGGGAAGACUCAGAAACCUAACGUUGGGGGAUCUUUCCUGUUCUUCUUGGACAAGGCUUUGUCUUUGCCCGCGAGGCUUACGCCAAACCCGUGCGGCCCCUUUUCAGCUCAGACAAGGGAAAGGUUGGUUGCCUUGAGUAGUAAAAAAGAAGACAACGGGCCAACUUUAAAGCAGCUUGUCAGCCUGGUUCUCAGGGCGAUCUUCUCAAGGGGCUUUGAGCGGGGGCUUGGCCUAGAUGACCUCCUGAGGUCCCUUCCAACCCUGGUAGUCUCUGAUAGUCUAUGAAACCAACCCUGAGCACUAGGCGGAAACCUCUCACCCCAGGCUGGAGUUUGAGCCAGCCGGCACGUUGGACAGGGCUCGGGUAUCCCCCCUCUGCAGAGCUCAGUCCAUGUAAACCAGCUGGGAGUCCGGCUUCUGUCUCGCUUCUCAUUCGGAUUGGUGUUUUGAGGGAGGCCAGUUUGACUGAGGCCCCAGCAGUUGGUCACGAACGGGAUACCCAACUUUAGAGCGGAGGGCGACGUUUCGGGAUCAAGGUUAGUUGUGAAAGUGGCUAUUAACGAGCCAGUGAGUUCGCGGCCUUUUUUGUGCUUGAUCAUCACUUGCAUUAACCCUAACGGGGUAAAUGAACACGUUAUCAUUUUAAAAAGCUAUGCCCUCGAGAAACCAACUCCAAAUGGGACAGUGAGCACUGUAUAUGAUGAGUUCCUACGAAGUCAUCAGCACUGAAUCGGAGUGUAGGCGUCAGGAUUUGGCCCUAUGAGGUGAAAUCAUUCAUUCACCGGCACAGAUAAGAGACUCACCCUUUUAGGACAGUGCGAUCUUGGUUUUGGCUAUGAAUGAAAGUACCAUGGUAACAGUUAUUUCCUUACACUCUAAACAAACUUUGGCAGCAUAGCCCCCUUUUUAAUAACUGCCCAUUGAAAUCAACGCAGUAACCCCGCAAUAUAGACUAUCACAUAAUAGUCAGGUAUCUCAUACAGAUGUGUGGUCUGACACCCUUCAGUCAGAAAUAUUCCAGGAUCAGAAUAAGUUUUCCAGUGAAAAAGAUCCAGCUUUAAUAAAACCCUAUCAUUUGGGUUUAACAAAUAAUCAAUCAUGCACAAAAACUUAUGGUUAACUAUAAUGUUUUAAACCCCCAGGAUUUUAAGUUGCAAAUCAGGAUUCCGUUUGAAAGGCAUGAAUUCUAUUAAAUGUACAAUUUAAUCACAGGGUAUUUAAAAUAGACAUUUCCAUCUAAAAUCCAAUCAGAUAUCAACACAGUACCUGGAGGCAUUAGAUGAUCAUCUCCAUUUUGCAUUUGUAAACUGGUAGAAAUAAAUGUGACUUGUGGAUACCAAGAGGUCAAGUGCGGCUGCUCAAAUAUUUUUCUUACAAAAUGACGGAUUUAUUAGACAAAUAAGUAGCCCGGCUGAUGCAAAACCCCCAGUGAUUGAAUUUUGACGUUGAGUCAACAACAACUCGAACUACAUCAGUGCUCCAAGAUUUAGUUAUGAUGGCAGAGAUUACUGAACAAAUAGGAGGCAGAAAUGAAUACAGAUUUCCUAGGAUCUGCCCCUGGCACCCUCUUCUUGACAUUCUCCUCCAUAUGCUACCCCUAUUCAUACUGUAUUCUAAUUAAAGGACUGGGCUCUGUCUUAUAAUUUUACAUGAACUUUUAAAUAAUUAGCUUCCUGUGCUGGUUAAAAGGGAGAGAGCCAGAGAGAAAGGAAAAUAAAUUCCUUUAGAAUCCCUCUCUGGCUUUAAAAUUACCCACUCGCCUUACAGUGGGGAUGUACAAUGCGCGUUGCUUUAUUAGGACAACAUUGCAAAAGAUCUGAGCUCUAAUCAACUGCUGUGGGUGACACAGAAUCUUGACACACACCCCUUCUCUCCCCCUCCCCCAUCCUUUGAGAACAUGUUAAAGCUUUUGUCAGGGGGGUGGAUUUGAGGGUUCAGCAUACAGGGGAAUCCUUUUCACAAGUCCAAAUCGCCUCUGCAAGAAUGAUGUUCUCCCAGGCUGGGGGAGAGCGGAUUUUUUUCACGCUCAAAUUGCCUCCCUCCUUAUUCGCCUCCCCACCCCUUACCCCCUCCAGGUGUAUGUAUCGGAGAGGGUUCCCGUGUAUGAGUGUUUGUUAGCCGGCAGGGAGCUAGCCACGGUGCUGGAAAGCCUACGUGAGUGGUGGGAAAGCACUGUUAUCCUUGCUUCGUUUCUUCAGCGCUUUGGAGCAUUACUUUUACUUGCUAAUCACGAAGGGGGGCUUAAAUAAUUGAGAGUACGUUUAAGCGUAAAGCAGUCAGUUUCUAAUCUUUUCAGGGGAAAAAGAACUAAUCUCCACCUGCUGUGAGAGCCCUUUUUUAUUUAUUCUGUAUAUUAUUUCCACUCCAGGCUGGACCUGAUGGCUCCAAUUACACUUGAGCUUUGUUGAGUCCAAACACCCCCAUUUCCUGGAAUCCUUGUGCGUCCCUAUUUUCUGUGGGUAUAAACUUUGCUUUCAUAGAAAGGUGGGAGCAGAUGCCUACCAGAUUUGGUUUGGCUGAGCCUGUAAUUGCCGAUGACUUUUGGGAAGAGGAGCUCUUAAAAACUCACAUAACUCUGCUUUCACUCUAUUGCUGCUGCUGUGUUGGUUUUUAAAAGGUAAGACUCUUUCCAAAAAGUGUUACAUAUAUUGGCCACUAAAACAAUCUGGAUUAUUAUUUUGGUCUGGAAUCUGUGGAGACCUGAAUUACAACGUAGAUACUCAGUGAGCACUGGGAAAAUAAACAGUUUAAUUAGCCCCUUUCUGGUUAAUAAAUUAUUUUGAUUGAAGGGUGUUUUUAUUCUGGAUACAGAGUUAGGCCUACUUAUAGUUUCGAUAAAGUUAAUUCUAGAUUAAUGUUUCUGUAACCUAUUUAGGAUGCAAAAAAUCCUGUCAAAUUAACGUGAAUCCUCCUGUCUUGCCUGCUCCCAGCAAAUAACUUGAAGCACCUAAUAAAUCCAGAUGGAGUUCUUCAUAGAGCCCGGUGCAGAAAUAAUUAUUGUCCUGGCUUGUUUCAUGUCAGAGGCCUCUUCGGCUCAUCUGUCAUGAAACCAAUUUCACUUUAUUUACAUCCAUUUGCUAGUUUAAUUACUGUGCUGAUGAAUAGCCUGAAGGAAUUAAGUUACGAGGCGCUGGAAACCUAAAGCGGUAGAUAGAUGGGUUACCUUCUCGGGGAAGGAAAUGAUGGUUGGUGUGUGCACCAAAUUUUUAAGGUAAUAAGUGCCUUUCCAUAGCAAGGUAGUUUGAAAGUCAGAAUCAUUGAAGCUCAACCCAUCUAUUUAUCUCCAUCUUGAUGUAAUAUAUUGCUUGGCAAUGCUUUAACAUUUUUGCAGGCUAUUACAGGUUAAAUCAAAUCUUAUUAAAGGAAACAUGUUCUUAAAGACGGUCACCUCAGUAACUUUAUGUCUAAGCACAAGAUGCACUAACCAUUUUUCAGACCAAAGAGGAGAAAUGUCAGAAGUUAGUUUUGUCUCUUACGCUUGAUUUCAACAUAAUCUAUUCAGCAUACUGUACCCUAUACCCAAUAUGCUCUCUGCACUAUGCUUAUACAUCAGAUAUUGUCCCAAAUGCUUCCCCACGCAAAGCUGUCUCUCCCUAGUAUAUGAUACUAAUAUAUGGUAUUUUAAUGAGAUAUAUUAUGGUGUGUUUUUGUACAAUCGUAUUAUAAAUGUAGUUUCUAGAUGUUUUCCCUAUUCCCACGUGUGUCUUAAUCGGUAAAUACACUCGACUUCUCUCUGGGUAUUUAAGAACAUACCCAACGUGUAUGUUUUGUAUAUGUUGUCUGUGCACACACAUUCCUAAAGAGGAAACCUAACCUUUCCGAUUCUACUACAUUAUAUGGCAUGUGGAGGAGAUUUCGUCGUUUCCUCCACAUAAUAACUUGCUGUCCCUGGGAUCCAGUGUUCUCCAACAACAUAUUUUGACUAAACUGGAUUUUAAAAAAACACUUUAUUUAGAACAAGCAAGAGCAAAAGGUAUGUGGCCUCUCACUCAUCAUCAGAGAAAAGGAAAAGUGUAAGAGUCGCGGAAUUAUUAUAUGACUGUUGGUUGUGCCGUGUACCUACGUCAGGUCUACGAUAUGCGUAACAUUAUUUAUGAGGAGCAUGUGCGAGUUUGGGUGUGGAUACACGCUCCUGCAAACGUUUUCUAAAACCAGAUGUUCAGAGCAAGAGCCUUACUUUUCCUCAGAAAAGGAGCUCCUCUAUACUCUCGUGUACAAAUCAUUCAGGCUACAGGCGUGGAUACACAGCUAUCUUCCCCUCCCUGAAUAAGGGACGUGCUUAGGGGAGCGCUGUUUUGUAACAUUAAGCAGCAACAUGUACCAGAA